UUGGCCCUGGAUGAAUAAUAUUGAAGCCUCAGCUGAUGGACAGUGCCACACAAGUUCUGAUUGACAGUUACUCACCUCAAGCAUACUCCAUACAUCUUUCUGCCAAGAACAUUCUGCAACAUUAUGAAGUCCAUGUGCCCUAUAUGCAAGUAAAGCCAGAAGUCCUGGAGUAAUACCUCCAGUAGCAGCCCCUAUUGGGAAACAGAAGCCAAAACUGAAGCUCAGAAAUGCUGUGCUUAUCAUUCAUGUUGUUCACCAAAGAGUUGUUUUAUGCGGACUUACGUCUUCAUCGUCUCCUUCACUGAGGUUGUAUGAAAAAAAUCUCUUGUUUCCCUCCAUGAAGCAUGAAUGGGCUCUUCAAUCUUAAACAAUCUGUCCAUCAGCUGAGGCUGAAAUCAGAGGAAUUGGGAGACAUGAUGCAAGGAGCUAAGGUCUCUCCCGCACUAUCUGACAUUAUAAAUAGAGCUCUGUUCUCUCUGUUCUUAUUUUGCUCUUAAGUAAAUUCUGUUGGCAAUAAUUAUGAUGUACAAUAAAUAAGGAAAAAAACAACGGACUGGAUUUUCCUAGUUUCUACAGAUGCAAGAGCCAAAUGACUUUUGAGAUCAAGCUUCUCAAUACAAAGCCCAGAUCAAGCUUUUCAACACAAAAAGCCAUCAGCCUCAACAAAAUCCUAGGAAGCAGAAUUCAAGCAGUGAAGGAUAAUGUUUUGUUUAAGUUGUCAGUGUUCACCCUUCAAAAAUG
rnacentral:lncRNA from 1 species